CUGUGUGCAAUGGCUGCAGAGUCGGCCUCCUUGGGAGUGUAUUCAGUCUGUUGCCUGUAUGGGUUGCCCUAAGGGCCUUGGAGGUAGUC
rnacentral:snoRNA from 1 species